CUGAUGCAGCGACGCCGCGUGAGGGAUGACGGCCUUCGGGUUGUAAACCUCUUUCAGCAGGGACGAAGCGCAAGUGACGGUACCUGCAGAAGAAGCACCGGCCAACUACGUGCCAGCAGCCGCGGUAAUACGUAGGGUGCGAGCGUUGUCCGGAAUUACUGGGCGUAAAGAGCUCGUAGGCGGUUUGUCGCGUCGUCUGUGAAAACCCGCAGCUCAACUGCGGGCUUGCAGGCGAUACGGGCAGACUCGAGUACUGCAGGGGAGACUGGAAUUCCUGGUGUAGCGGUGAAAUGCGCAGAUAUCAGGAGGAACACCGGUGGCGAAGGCGGGUCUCUGGGCAGUAACUGACGCUGAGGAGCGAAAGCGUGGGUAGCGAACAGGAUUAGAUACCCUGGUAGUCCACGCCGUAAACGGUGGGCGCUAGGUGUGGGUUUCCUUCCACGGGAUCCGUGCCGUAGCCAACGCA
rnacentral:rRNA from 1 species